rnacentral:rRNA from 1 species
UGGGGAAUUUUGGACAAUGGGGGCAACCCUGAUCCAGCAAUGCCGCGUGUGUGAAGAAGGCCUUCGGGUUGUAAAGCACUUUUGUCCGGAAAGAAAACGCCGUGGUUAAUACCCGCGGCGGAUGACGGUACCGGAAGAAUAAGCACCGGCUAACUACGUGCCAGCAGCCGCGGUAAUACGUAGGGUGCAAGCGUUAAUCGGAAUUACUGGGCGUAAAGCGUGCGCAGGCGGUCCGCUAAGACAGAUGUGAAAUCCCCGGGCUUAACCUGGGAACUGCAUUUGUGACUGGCGGGCUAGAGUAUGGCAGAGGGGGGUAGAAUUCCACGUGUAGCAGUGAAAUGCGUAGAGAUGUGGAGGAAUACCGAUGGCGAAGGCAGCCCCCUGGGCCAAUACUGACGCUCAUGCACGAAAGCGUGGGGAGCAAACAGGAUUAGAUACCCUGGUAGUCCACGCCCUAAACGAUGUCAAC